GGAUGUGCAGGCAAUCUGGCUGCGACAUCUGUCACCCCAUUGAUCACCAGGAUUGAUUCCGCUGAUCUGGCUGGCUAGGCGGGUGUCCCCUUCCUCCCUCUCCACUCCAUGUGUAUCCCUCCCGAAGCUGCAAGCUCAGUGGAAGAGGACGCCUUCCCCAAAUAGAGACGGACCGGUCUUCGAUCCAGGGUAUAGGAGUAGCUGUGCUCCCCUGCUAGAACCUCCAAACAAGCUCUCAAGAUGAAUUCUGUUAUUAGAGAGUUAGGCUUGAUAGUUGUGUUCAAAUCAGCAUACCCAGGGGAACAAUGC
ensembl:misc_RNA 7SK 7SK RNA